GUUUUUGUAAAAUAGCUAUUUUAAGGAUUAUAACUUGGACUUCCAAUAUGUCGACAUGGAUAAACAGCCUCAAGUCGACUUUGUAAGUGCUCAGUCACCAUGAUGUGUCGCUGUGGUUAUGCAGAUUGUUGAAAGCAAUAUGAUGAGGGAAGGCAGGAAAGAGUCUUAUUGUCAGUAUGUACUCAUGGAAAAAUGGUGUUCGAGAGGUGGCGAAUAAGGAUUUGCAUGCAGCAUUGAAGAACGAUAAUAUGCAAAGAAUAGAAAGAAAGGUUCUCUUAACAUAGAAAGUAAAGAAAUAAUGAAGUUCACACUACAGUUGACAAUCUGGAUGUGUUUCCUUUGUUAUUUGAACAUGAUUUAUUUUAACUUACAUAACAAGUAUGCACUAAAAUAACGAAUAUCUAUAUUAAUAGUAAUGAUAUUCCAUUAAACAUGGAUAUGGAAAAAAUAUUCUUUGACAGUGCAAGAUAAGAUAAAUCCAGACAUAGUCAGAGUCUUCAGUUAACUUGGAUGUGUUCCAUUUGUUUCAUCCACAUACUUGAAAUUUGUCUUGUAACUACAUGUAUUUUUAUGAGGUUAAGUGGUGAGUAAUCAACCUUUAUCAUAACAUUUUCUUAUUUGGGGAUAGUAUGUAUUUAUGUUGACACUAUGUGUACCUUCAUUCUCUUCAUUUUUCUGUACGAAAAAAAGACCGAAUGUGUCAUUUUAGUUUUACCAUUUUAAACUGUAUUUAUUAUACUCUUCAUUGAAUACCCAUUCGUAUAUUAUCAAACAUUUUAACAAAUUUAAAUGUGUUGUUAUUUUGAUUAUAUUGUGUUGGUGUCAUAGGGUACAUGUACAUGCCCAUUCCUAGCCUUCAAGAUAAAACAGAUAUAUUUUUUGUUGUAAAAUGUGUUCUUUAUGCAUAUACAUAUAGAGUGGCUACAGAGAACUCAACAUUUUUCUUACAAAAUAUCUAAGGGUUUCCCUGCAUGUGAUUGCUACAUUUAGUGUUCCUCAUGUUAUAUAAUACAUUGUAUAUGGUCAAUAAAACAG